rnacentral:rRNA from 4 species
UUAUCGGAGAGUUUGAUCCUGGCUCAGGACGAACGCUGGCGGCGUGCCUAAUACAUGCAAGUCGAGCGGACAGAUGGGAGCUUGCUCCCUGAUGUUAGCGGCGGA